ACACAUGCAAGUCGAGGGGCAGCGCGGGAUAGCAAUAUCCUGGCGGCGACCGGCGGAAGGGUGCGUAACGCGUGAGCGACAUGCCCGUUGCCCGGGGACAACCGGUGGAAACGCCGACUAAUCCCCGAUGGGAUAUUGUGCCGCAUGGCACGAUAUUGAAAGUUACGGCGGCGACGGAUUGGCUCGCGUCCGAUUAGCUUGUUGGCGGGGUAACGGCCCACCAAGGCUACGAUCGGUAGGGGUUCUGAGAGGAAGGCCCCCCACAAUGGGACUGAGACACGGCCCAUACUCCUACGGGAGGCAGCAGUGAGGAAUAUUGGUCAAUGGGCGGAAGCCUGAACCAGCCAUGCCGCGUGCGGGAAGGAGGCCCUAUGGGCUGUGAACCGCUUUUGCCUGGGGGCAAUAAGGGCGUCGCGCACGCCCGAUGAGAGUACCAGGCGAAUAAGCAUCGGCUAACUCCGUGCCAGCAGCCGCGGUAAUACGGGGGAUGCGAGCGUUAUCCGGAUUCAUUGGGUUUAAAGGGUGCGUAGGCUGUGCGUCAAGUCGGGGGUGAAAUUCCGGUGCUCAACACCGGGGCUGCUCUUGAUACUGUCGCGCUGGAGUGCGGAUGCCGCCGGAGGAAUGAGUGGUGUAGCGGUGAAAUGCUUAGAUAUCACUCAGAACACCGAUUGCGAAGGCAUCUGGCGAAUCCGUAACUGACGCUGAGGCACGAAAGCGUGGGGAUAGAACAGGAUUAGAUACCCUGGUAUUCCACGCCGUAAACGAUGAUGGCUAACCGCCGGCGACACACUGUCGGUGGCCAAGCGAAAGCGAUAAGCCAUCCACCUGGGGAGUACGUCGGCAACGAUGAAACUCAAAGGAAUUGACGGGGGCCCGCACAAGCGGAGGAACAUGUGGUUUAAUUCGAUGAUACGCGAGGAACCUUACCCGGGCUCGAACGG
rnacentral:rRNA from 1 species